rnacentral:rRNA from 1 species
CAGCAGCCGCGGUAAUACCAGCCCCGCGAGUGGUCGGGACGAUUAUUGGGCCUAAAGCGUCCGUAGCCGGCCCGGCAAGUCCCUCUUUAAAGCCCACGGCUCAACCGUGGGAGCGGAGGGAUACUGCCGGGCUAGGGAGCGGGAGAGGCCGAGGGUAUUCCCGGAGUAGGGGUGAAAUCCUAUAAUCCCGGGAGGACCACCUGUGGCGAAGGCGCUCGGCUGGAACGCGUCCGACGGUGAGGGACGAAGGCCAGGGGAGCAAACCGGAUUAGAUACCCGGGUAGUCCUGGCGGUAAACGAUGCGGACUUUGUGUCGGACAAGCUAUGAGCUUGUCCGGUGCCGGAGGGAAACCGUUAAGUCCGCCGCCUGGGGAGUACGGCCGCAAGGCUGAAACUUAAAGGAAUUGGCGGG